AAAGAUGGCCGAAGUAAAAAAAGACGCGAAGUGUUUUCUUUGUACGGCUUUAAAAAAAUAAUGCCGAAGAAUGUGGCAAGGUCGAUUACUGGUCCAGUUCCAGCGAAGCUUCCUGGUUUCCUGCUGUUAGCAGAUGACGUGACACCAUGGAGUCAGUGGAGGAUUUUCUUGGCUGCAGUUGCUGUACAACAGUGUUAUUAGUGGAAUAUCGAGUGAUUAUUUUCGUUAAAUUUUAAUGUAAAAUGCUUACUGUGCAAAAAAUAAAUAAAUAGAACAUA